rnacentral:rRNA from 1 species
UACGUAGGGUGCAAGCGUUGUCCGGAAUUAUUGGGCGUAAAGAGCUCGUAGGCGGUCUGUCGCGUCGGAUGUGAAAAUCCAGGGCUCAACCCUGGACCUGCAUUCGAUACGGGCAGACUAGAGUUCGGCAGGGGAGACUGGAAUUCCUGGUGUAGCGGUGAAAUGCGCAGAUAUCAGGAGGAACACCGGUGGCGAAGGCGGUUCUCUGGGCCUGUACUGACGCUGAGGAGCGAAAGCGUGGGGAGCGAACAGG